AUUGAACGCUGGCGGCAGGCUUAACACAUGCAAGUCGAGCGGAGAGAGGUAGCUUGCUACUGAUCUUAGCGGCGGACGGGUGAGUAAUGCUUAGGAAUCUGCCUAUUAGUGGGGGACAACAUUUCGAAAGGAAUGCUAAUACCGCAUACGUCCUACGAGAGAAAGCAGGGGAUCUUCGGACCUUGCGCUAAUAGAUGAGCCUAAGUCGGAUUAGCUAGUUGGUGGGGUAAAGGCCUACCAAGGCGACGAUCUGUAGCGGGUCUGAGAGGAUGAUCCGCCUCACUGGGACUGAGACACGGCCCAGACUCCUACGGGAGGCAGCAGUGGGGAAUAUUGGACAAUGGGCGGAAGCCUGAUCCAGCCAUGCCGCGUGUGUGAAGAAGGCCUUAUGGUUGUAAAGCACUUUAAGCGAGGAGGAGGCUACUUUAGUUAAUACCUAGAGAUAGUGGACGUUACUCGCAGAAUAAGCACCGGCUAACUCUGUGCCAGCCGCCGCAGUAAAAC
rnacentral:rRNA from 1 species